rnacentral:rRNA from 1 species
ACUCUUUCCCUACACGACGCUCUUCCGAUCUCAGAGACUAAGCCAUGCACGUCUAAGUACAAACUAAAUGAUGGUGAAACUGCAAAUGGCUCAUUACAACGGUUAUGAUGUACCCGGGAGUUCCGAUGGAUAUUUCCAGUAACACUAGAACUAAUACAUGCUCCUGCGUUUAUUAGUUUCGCACAGUCCGUCGCUGAGUCAUGGUAAACAGUUGAUCGACUCGACGUCCCGGAACAGUUUCCGCCCCAUCAGCUUCGAUGGUUGGGUAUUGGCCUACCAUUGCAACAACGGGUAACGAGGAAUUAGGGUUUGAUUUCGGAGAGGGAGCCUGAGAAACGGCUACCACAUCUACGGAUGGCAGCAGGCGCGCAAAUUACCCAAUGCAGACACUGUGAGGUAGUGACGAGAAAUAAUAAAGCGGGACUUCUGUUUCGCUAUUAUAAUGAGGAAUAACCAAAGGUCAUUCCGAUUAGCAACUGAUGGGAAAGUCUGGUGCCAGCAGCCGCGGUAAUACCAGCGUCAGUAGCAUAUAUUAAAAUUGUUGCAGUUAAAACGUCCGUAGUCUGUACGUCGUCCCAAACUCACUGCAGUCUUCCGUUUUCUUCAUUGAAUGCGGUAGUUUCUGCAGUCACUCCCUUGAUCAAAUUAGGUUGUUCAAGGUAGACCAAGUCUUCAUAUUUUCACAUGGAAUUGGGUGAGGGAACUUAAGAGUUUAAGUUUCUCGUCUUAGGAUCAUCCGGGGUCAUUCGUACUCGUCCGCGAGAGGUGAAAUUCUUGGACCGGACGAAGACGACCAGCAGCGAAAGCAUCUGUCAGGGAUGUUUUCUGCGACAAAGGACGAAGGUCAGGGUAUCGAAGACGAUUAGAUACCGUCGUAGUCCUGACUGUAAACUAUGCCAACUUGGGUCUUGCUGGGCGAUGCUUUGUGAGACCCACACAGAAAUGAAAGUGUAUGGGUUCUGGGGGUAGUAUGGACACAAGUCUGAAACUUGAAGGAAUUGACGGAAGAGCACCAUAAGACGUGGAGCUUGCGGCUUAAUUUGACUCAACGCGGGAAAACUUACCAGGUCAAGACAUGGGCGUGAUUGACAGGCUAAUGACUUUUCUCGAUUCCAUGGAUGGUGGUGCAUGGUCGCACUUAGUUGGUGCAGUGAUUUGUCAGGUUUAUUCCGGUAACGAACGAGACCUCGGCCUUGUAAAUAGCUAUGCUGCUUACAGGGACAUUGGCGGCUACGCCAAGGAAGCUCGAGGCAAUUGCAGAUCUGGAAUGCCCUUAGAUGUCCUGGGUCGCACGCGUGCUACAAUGACGCCACGAACGAGUUUGCGUGAUGAAAGUCACGCAUAAUCAGCAGUCGGCGUCUUAAGGGAUAGUCUCUUGUAACUGUGGGACUCCAACUAGGAAUGUCUCGUAAGCACAAGUCAACAUCUUGUGUUGAUUACGUCCCUGCUCUUUGUACACACCGCCCGUCGCUCCUACCGAUCGAGUGUUUAGGUGAAUUUGAUGGACGUAAGGAAGUCAAAUAAACCUGAGCACUUAGAGGAAGGAGAAGUCGUAAGAUCGGAAGAGCACACGUCUGAAC